AUGCCACACAUGUAGCACUGAUCUGGGCA
rnacentral:piRNA from 1 species